rnacentral:lncRNA from 1 species
AAUGUUGAGAACAUUAUGUUCCCAAAAAGCUUGGUGGAAAGCAACUAGUAAGAGAUCUGAAUUCUAAUACUCUUUAUUAGAAUAUAGGGGAAACAUGAAUUAUUUAGUGUUAUUUGUAAACUAAUUAGAAUUGCCUUCACAGAAUUUGGAAGAAUUGGAUGGAGACAAGACAAGCUAAGCUAAGGAGACGUCAAGAGUCAAGACUCAAGAGAAGAUGCAUCAUAGAUCAUACUACUGCUGCUGCUUGAGAAUAUACUGCUUUAUUGAGAACAUUAUGUUGAGAACAUUAUGUUUUGAGAACAUUAUGUUUUGAGCUGAAUAUACUGCUACUGAUUUCCAGUGCUGAAUAUAUACUACUCUUUGUUGAAUAUAUAUAAUUAUAUACUACUCUUUCUAGUGCUGAUUUCUAAUACUCUUUGUUGAGAACAUUAUGCUUUGAGCUGAAUAUACUGCUGCUGAUUUCCAGUGC